UUUGACAUGGAGUAAACGCAUGAGCACAUAGUGCUCUUGAUUUUCAUGACUUAAAUUAUUGGUAUUUAAAAGGAUUUUAAGCUUUAGUUUGCUUUUCUUUCAGUCUACAAAUCUUAGUAUUACGACCCUGUUUCUGAAUUUCUGACUAAAAUUACACCGCUACCUCAAACCAUCAUCACUUCUUCAUUUGCACCAUCAUGUGUUAGAACAUCAGGUCUCUGCAAAAUGAAAAAGAGGAUGCCGUUUCGGAAAUAUGCAAUGAUAUUAUCAAAGUGUAACGCUGUGACUACAUGUGCGUGGAUUCUGCUUUUUUUGUUUCCUGCUGGACACGGAUUAUUUAACAGCACCUCAGUUCAGACUGUUCAUCGAGGAAUGUCAGUCAAUAUCAGCUGUAACUAUAAACCAUCAAAUGACACAGAAAGUUUCAUAGUGGAACUGCAAACUAA